GACGAACGCUGGCGGCGUGCUUAACACAUGCAAGUCGAACGGAAAGGCCCUGCUUUUGUGGGGGGCUCGAGUGGCGAACGGGUGAGUAACACGUGAGUAACCUGCCCUUUACUUUGGGAUAACUUCAGGAAACUGGGGCUAAUACCGGAUAGGAGCUCCUGCUGCAUGGUGGGGGUUGGAAAGUUUCGGCGGUUGGGGAUGGACUCGCGGCUUAUCAGCUUGUUGGUGGGGUAGUGGCUUACCAAGGCUUUGACGGGUAGCCGGCCUGAGAGGGUGACCGGCCACAUUGGGACUGAGAUACGGCCCAGACUCCUACGGGAGGCAGCAGUGGGGAAUAUUGCACAAUGGGAGGAAGCCUGAUGCAGCAACGACGCGUGCGGGAUGACGGCCUUCGGGUUGUAAACCGCUUUCGCCUGUGACGAAGCGUGAGUGACGGUAAUGGGUAAAGAAGCACCGGCUAACUACGUG
rnacentral:rRNA from 1 species